UCUACAAAUGUUAUUUUAUUUAUUUUUUUAUCUCUCUCCUCCCACUCUCUCUCUCUCCACCAACGAGAUUAUUUUUCCCGAGAGCUACCUUCAUUUUCCUCUUCUCCCUCCCUCCACUCGAAUAGAAGUUGGAAUCUCUCUCUUAUGAUGGCUCUCUCUCACAACAGAUCUUGUGACGACUGUUUUAAUUGGUCUUCUGUUUUGAAUUGAGGUUUUUCAGUUGCUGUUUUUCAGAUGUUUGAUUGUAAUUUACUGUUUGUUUUGCUAAUCUUCUGUUAUAAUUGAUGAGGAUAAAUGGCGAUGUGACUAUGAGUAAUACAAUGGUAUUGUUGAAGGAUGAACACUUUGUCCUUCAAUACAGUGGUACUGUUUAAUGCGCUGUUUUAAUUGGCAAUGCCGCAAUGUGACUAUGAGCAAUACAAUGAUAUUGUUUAAUGUGUUGUUUUAGUAACAUUUUGUCCUUCAAUAUUUUGUUGAAAGAUGAACACUUUAAUUGACGAGGAUCCAUUCUUCACCACACUGUCGGGAACUGGUGAGGGUGAUAUUAAUAAUCCACCUAUGGAUAGUGCAAAUGUUGAUGUCCAACCGACACAACCCCAAUGGGAAACUAGGACACCUAAACAAAAAUCUCAGCAGGGUGUGUCAUUUGCUACAGAGGAAGAUACUCUCCUCGUUUCAGAUUGACUUAACAUUAGUAGACUCUAUACGGGGACUGACCAAACCUCCAUACAAUUGUGGAGUAGAAUCUAUGAUUACUACAACACCUAUAAAAAAACUAAUAGCCCAGAAUGGUCUAUACCCUCUUUGACCAAUCGGUGGUCAAGCAUUCAAAAAUGUGUUAAUAAAUUUAUGGUUCCAUAUCCCAAGUUGAAGGAAUGCAUCCAAACAGUGCGACCUAGCUAGACAAGGUAUAAUGAUUUUUUCAAUGUUUUAUUGUUGUAAUUAUUAAGUAUUUUCAAUAAUAGAGCAUACUGAUUGUGGAACUAUUUUGUAGAUUGAUAAGGCAAAAACUUUGUAUCGAGAGACCCAAAAAAUGAACUUCAAUAUGAAACAUUGUUUGAAUCUUUUAAGACACCAAUUGAAAUGGCAAGCGCACAUGGAACUCAUAAGAAGAAAAGACAAUGUGUAGACAAGUUAA